GGGGGCGUGGCGAAACUGGUAAACGCAGUGGUCUUCCAAACCACUUCCGGCACGGAUUGCGGGUUCAAGUCCCGCCGCCCCCACCA
rnacentral:tRNA from 1 species